rnacentral:rRNA from 1 species
UUAAGUUAAUAAGGGCGCACGGUGGAUGCCUUGGCACUAGGAGCCGACGAAGGACGUGACAAACGACGAUAUGCCUUGGGUAGCUGUAAGUAAGCGAUGAUCCAGGGAUUUCCGAAUGGGGGAACCCAACAGGUAAUACCUGUUGCCCACAUCUGUUAAGGAUGUGAGGAGGAAGACGCAGUGAACUGAAACAUCUAAGUAGCUGCAGGAAGAGAAAGCAAAAGCGAUUGCCUUAGUAGCGGCGAGCGAAACGGCAGAAGGGCAAACCGAAGAGUUUACUCUUCGGGGUUGUAGGACUGCAAUGUGGACUCAAAGAUUAUAGAAGAAUGAUUUGGGAAGAUCAGCCAAAGAGAGUAAUAGCCUCGUAUUUAAAAUAGUCUUUGUACCUAGCAGUAUCCUGAGUACGGCGGGACACGUGAAAUCCCGUCGGAAUCUGGGAGGACCAUCUCCCAACCCUAAAUACUCCCUAGUGACCGAUAGUGAACCAGUACCGUGAGGGAAAGGUGAAAAGCACCCCGGGAGGGGAGUGAAAUAGAACCUGAAACCGUGUGCCUACAACAAGUUCGAGCCCGUUAAUGGGUGAGAGCGUGCCUUUUGUAGAAUGAACCGGCGAGUUACGUUAUGAUGCGAGGUUAAGUUGAAGAGACGGAGCCGUAGGGAAACCGAGUCUGAAUAGGGCGCCUUAGUAUCAUGACGUAGACCCGAAACCAUGUGACCUACCCAUGAGCAGGUUGAAGGUGCGGUAAGACGCACUGGAGGACCGAACCAGGGCACGUUGAAAAGUGCUUGGAUGACUUGUGGGUAGCGGAGAAAUUCCAAACGAACUUGGAGAUAGCUGGUUCUCUCCGAAAUAGCUUUAGGGCUAGCGUCGACAUUAGAGAUUCUUGGAGGUAGAGCACUGUUUGGGUGAGGGGUCCAUCCCGGAUUACCAAUCUCAGAUAAACUCCGAAUGCCAAUGAAUUAUGGUCGGCAGUCAGACUGCGAGUGCUAAGAUCCGUAGUCGAAAGGGAAACAGCCCAGACCACCAGCUAAGGUCCCAAAAUAAUUGUUAAGUGGAAAAGGAUGUGGGGUUGCACAGACAACUAGGAUGUUAGCUUAGAAGCAGCUAUUCAUUCAAAGAGUGCGUAAUAGCUCACUAGUCGAGUGACCCUGCGCCGAAAAUGUACCGGGGCUAAAACAAUUUACCGAAGCUGUGGAUACCUUUAUAGGUAUGGUAGGAGAGCGUUCUAUGUGUGAUGAAGGUAUACCGUGAGGAGUGCUGGAACGCAUAGAAGUGAGAAUGCCGGUAUGAGUAGCGAAAGACAGGUGAGAAUCCUGUCCACCGUAAGACUAAGGUUUCCAGGGGAAGGCUCGUCCGCCCUGGGUUAGUCGGGACCUAAGGAGAGACCGAAAGGUGUAUCCGAUGGACAACAGGUUGAUAUUCCUGUACUAGAGUAUGUAGUGAUGGAGGGACGCAGUAGGCUAACUAAAGCAGACGAUUGGAAGAGUCUGUCUAAGCAGUGAGGUGUGAAUUGAGUCAAAUGCUUAAUUCUAUAACAUUGAGCUGUGAUGGGGAGCGAAGUUUAGUAGCGAAGUUAGUGACGUCACACUGCCAAGAAAAGCUUCUAGCGUUUAAACAUACUCUACCCGUACCGCAAACCGACACAGGUAGUCGAGGCGAGUAGCCUCAGGUGAGCGAGAGAACUCUCGUUAAGGAACUCGGCAAAAUGACCCCGUAACUUNNNNNNNNNNNNNNNNNNNNGGGAGAAGGGGUGCUGACUUUAAGUCAGCCGCAGUGAAUAGGCCCAAGCAACUGUUUAUCAAAAACACAGCUCUCUGCUAAAUCGUAAGAUGAUGUAUAGGGGGUGACGCCUGCCCGGUGCUGGAAGGUUAAGAGGAGUGCUUAGCGUAAGCGAAGGUAUGAAUUGAAGCCCCAGUAAACGGCGGCCGUAACUAUAACGGUCCUAAGGUAGCGAAAUUCCUUGUCGGGUAAGUUCCGACCCGCACGAAAGGCGUAAUGAUUUGGGCACUGUCUCAACGAGAGACUCGGUGAAAUUUUAGUACCUGUGAAGAUGCAGGUUACCCGCGACAGGACGGAAAGACCCCAUGGAGCUUUACUGCAGUUUGAUAUUGAGUGUCUGUACCACAUGUACAGGAUAGGUAGGAGUCUAAGAGAUCGGGACGCCAGUUUCGAAGGAGACGCUGUUGGGAUACUACCCUUGUGUUAUGGCCACUCUAACCCAGAUAGGUGAUCCCUAUCGGAGACAGUGUCUGACGGGCAGUUUGACUGGGGCGGUCGCCUCCUAAAAGGUAACGGAGGCGCCCAAAGGUUCCCUCAGAAUGGUUGGAAAUCAUUCGCAGAGUGUAAAGGUAUAAGGGAGCUUGACUGCGAGAGCUACAACUCGAGCAGGGACGAAAGUCGGGCUUAGUGAUCCGGUGGUUCCGUAUGGAAGGGCCAUCGCUCAACGGAUAAAAGCUACCCUGGGGAUAACAGGCUUAUCUCCCCCAAGAGUUCACAUCGACGGGGAGGUUUGGCACCUCGAUGUCGGCUCGUCGCAUCCUGGGGCUGUAGUCGGUCCCAAGGGUUGGGCUGUUCGCCCAUUAAAGCGGCACGCGAGCUGGGUUCAGAACGUCGUGAGACAGUUCGGUCCCUAUCCGUCGCGGGCGUAGGAAAUUUGAGAGGAUCUGCUCCUAGUACGAGAGGACCAGAGUGGACUUACCGCUGGUGUACCAGUUGUCUUGCCAAAGGCAUCGCUGGGUAGCUAUGUAGGGAAGGGAUAAACGCUGAAAGCAUCUAAGUGUGAAACCCACCUCAAGAUGAGAUUUCCCAUGAUUAUAUAUCAGUAAGAGCCCUGAGAGAUGAUCAGGUAGAUAGGUUAGAAGUGGAAGUGUGGCGACACAUGUAGCGGACUAAUACUAAUAGCUCGAGGACUUAUCCAA